ACGGCUCAGUAACACGUCGGUAACCUACCCUCGGGAGGGGGAUAACCCCGGGAAACUGGGGCUAAUCCCCCAUAGGCCUGGGGUACUGGAAGGUCCCCAGGCCGAAAGGGGCUUUUGCCCGCCCGAGGAUGGGCCGGCGGCCGAUUAGGUAGUUGGUGGGGUAACGGCCCACCAAGCCGAAGAUCGGUACGGGCUGUGAGAGCAGGAGCCCGGAGAUGGACACUGAGACACGGGUCCAGGCCCUACGGGGCGCAGCAGGCGCGAAACCUCCGCAAUGCGGGAAACCGCGACGGGGGGACCCCGAGUGCCGUGGCAUCGCCACGGCUUUUCCGGAGUGUAAAAAGCUCCGGGAAUAAGGGCUGGGCAAGGCCGGUGGCAGCCGCCGCGGUAAUACCGGCGGCCCGAGUGGUGGCCGCUAUUAUUGGGCCUAAAGCGUCCGUAGCCGGGCCCGUAAGUCCCUGGCGAAAUCCCACGGCUCAACCGUGGGGCUUGCUGGGGAUACUGCGGGCCUUGGGACCGGGAGAGGCGGGGGGUACCCCUGGGGUAGGGGUGAAAUCCUAUAAUCCCAGGGGGACCGCCAGUGGCGAAGGCGCCCCGCUGGAACGGGUCCGACGGUGAGGGACGAAGGCCAGGGGAGCAAACCGGAUUAGAUACCCGGGUAGUCCUGGCUGUAAAGGAUGCGGGCUAGGUGUCGGGCGAGCUUCGAGCUCGCCCGGUGCCGUAGGGAAGCCGUUAAGCCCGCCGCCUGGGGAGUACGGCCGCAAGGCUGAAACUUAAAGGAAUUGGCGGGGGAGCACUACAAGGGGUGGAGCGUGCGGUUUAAUUGGAGUCAACGCCGAGA
rnacentral:rRNA from 1 species